rnacentral:lncRNA from 7 species
ACGCACCGCGCUGUUCACAGCGGCCUCACCCAGUUUACCAACAGGCAGCGAUAACUGCGGCCGCCCCGGCCGGGUCCCCGCAGCCCCGCUGUAAGGGCGGUACAGGGUCCGGGGAGUCCUGGAAGACCUCUGUCACCCUGAUGAAAGCAGGAAAAACAGAUGAGAUGACUGCCAAUGCAACUGCUAGCAAGAAAUAUUCCAUGAGCAUGAAAUUUCUUUGUCCGAGAUACUUUCUAUCAGAAAUUAGUUCAUCAAUUUAGGAGCUACCUUUGACCCAGGGAGCCCAAAACCUGGUUCUCCAAUUGGUCCAGCAAGACCAGGAUAAAGAUGCUGAUAAGAGAAACCAGGAUUACUUCUCCAUUUAUUAAUCAGUACAGAAGACCAGUACAAGAGGCAGAACCCAAAAAAUCUCACCAGUUAUUCUCACUAAGAGAAGCAGUAAACCCAGCAAAGGGCUCCAUCUUCUCCUGGAAGGCCAGGCAGACCUGCCAGUCCUGAAAGUCCUGGCUCACCCUGACAUCAAUAAAGGUAAGUCUUUCUAUUAAAUACAGACUCCAAAUCAAGUAAAUCUAUUUUUAAAAGGCUACUGAACAGUAUAUAUAUUUAUAGGAAACAUUUAUGCAUAUGAACCAAAGUCUUGUUUUUUCUUUAUGACAACUGCCAUGUAU